rnacentral:rRNA from 1 species
GACGAACGCUGGCGGCGUGCUUAACACAUGCAAGUCGAACGGAAAGGCCCUGCUUUUGUGGGGUGCUCGAGUGGCGAACGGGUGAGUAACACGUGAGUAACCUGCCCUUGACUUUGGGAUAAUUUCAGGAAACUGGGGCUAAUACCGGAUAGGAGCUCCUGCUGCAUGGUGGGGGUUGGAAAGUUUCGGCGGUUGGGGAUGGACUCGCGGCUUAUCAGCUUGUUGGUGGGGUAGUGGCUUACCAAGGCUUUGACGGGUAGACGGCCUGAGAGGGUGACCGGCCACAUUGGGACUGAGAUACGGCCCAGACUCCUACGGGAGGCAGCAGUGGGGAAUAUUGCACAAUGGGCGGAAGCCUGAUGCAGCAACGCCGCGUGCGGGAUGACGGCCUUCGGGUUGUAAACCGCUUUCGCCUGUGACGAAGCGUGAGUGACGGUAAUGGGUAAAGAAGCACCGGCUAACUACGUG